UACAGAGGGGGCAAGCGUUGUUCGGAAUUACUGGGCGUAAAGGGCGCGUAGGCGGCCCGCUAAGUCGAACGUGAAAUCCCCGAGCUCAACUCGGGAACUGCGUCCGAUACUGGCGGGCUUGAAUCCGGGAGAGGGAUGCGGAAUUCCAGGUGUAGCGGUGAAAUGCGUAGAUAUCUGGAGGAACACCGGUGGCGAAGGCGGCAUCCUGGACCGGCAUUGACGCUGAGGCGCGAAAGCUGA
rnacentral:rRNA from 1 species